rnacentral:rRNA from 1 species
AAGUCGUAACAAGGUUUCCGUAGGUGAACCUGCGGAAGGAUCAUUGUCGAACCCUGCAAGGCAGAACGACCCGUGAACACGUAAAUACAACUUGGUGAUAGGGAGAUGGGCAUUUGUCCUGAUUCUUAACACCUCCCGGCGUGCUUGCAUGGUCUCUCAUUUUUGGCACCAUGGAUGUAUCGUUGGAUCUUAACAAACCCCGGCACGGAAUGUGCCAAGGAAAACAAAAUAUGAGAAGGACUCGUCUUGUUAUGUCCCGUUCGCGGUGUGCAUGCUGGUCGUGGCCUCCUUGGAAUCACAAACGACUCUCGGCAACGGAUAUCUCGGCUCACGCAUCGAUGAAGAACGUAGCAAAAUGCGAUACUUGGUGUGAAUUGCAGAAUCCCGUGAACCAUCGAGUUUUUGAACGCAAGUUGCGCCCGAAGCCAUCCGGUUGAGGGCACGCCUGCCUGGGCGUCACGCAUCGCGUCGUCCCCCACCAUACUUCCCUGAUGGUUAGUCAUGGUGUUUGGGGGCGGAGAGUGGCCUCCCGUGCCUGUGGUGCGGUUGGCCUAAAUAGGAGUCCCCUUCAGUGGAUACACGGCUAGUGGUGGUUGUAUAGACCCUCUUCUUGUGUCGUGUGUCGUGAGCUGCUAGGGAAACCCUCAUCAAAGACCCCACUGUAUCGUCUUACGACGAUGCUNCGACCGCGACCCCAGGUCAGGCGGGACUACCCGCUGAGUUUAA